rnacentral:lncRNA from 1 species
UCUGAGCCUGAUGGAUUUACAGUGAUCUUCAGUGGUCUGGGGAAUAACGCUGGUGGAACCAUGCACUGGAAUGACACACGCCCGGCACAUUUCAGGAUACUAAAAGUGGUUUUAAGGGAGGCUGUGGCUGAAUGCCUCAUGGAUUCUUACAGCUUGGAUGUCCAUGGGGGACGAAGGACUGCAGCUGGCUGAGAGGGUUGAGAUCUCUGUUUACUUAGAUCUCUGCCAACUUCCUUUGGGUCUCCCUAUGGAAUGUAAGACCCCGACUCUUCCUGGUGAAGCAUCUGAUGCACGUUCCAUCCGGCGCUCAGCUGGGCUUGAGAAUCCUGUUACACCUGGGAUUUAGGCACUUUCAAUCUGAAAAAAUACAUAUCCUUUCAGCACUCUGGACGGACUUGAGAACUGUCCUUACGUGACCUAAAGCUGGAGUAUUUUGAGAUUGGAGAAUUAAGAGUGUGGGCACCCUGGCUUCAAGCUCACGAGAAAUCAGGUCGGGAUUUAAACAAUGUUGGGUUAAAGCAAAGUUCCAUAAAGACAGAAUC